rnacentral:sRNA from 1 species
UGUUUGGACUGGAGAAGGGAGGCGGCGGGCGAAGCGCACGUCGAGCGGGGGAGCGGCGCUGCCUGUGGAGAUCCGCGGAGGCCGACAGGAUUCGUUGGCUGCCGUCCCCGCUGCUGUGCAUUGGGUUAAAAACGACAACCAACAUCAGCCAUGAAAGAUCCAAGUCGCAGCAGUACUAGCCCAAGCAUCAUCAAUGAAGAUGUGAUUAUUAACGGUCAUUCUCAUGAAGAUGACAAUCCAUUUGCAGAGUACAUGUGGAUGGAAAAUGAAGAAGAAUUCAACAGACAAAUAGAAGAGGAGUUAUGGGAAGAAGAAUUUAUUGAACGCUGUUUCCAAGAAAUGCUGGAAGAGGAAGAAGAGCAUGAAUGGUUUAUUCCAGCUCGAGAUCUCCCACAAACUAUGGACCAAAUCCAAGACCAGUUUAAUGACCUUGUUAUCAGUGAUGGCUCUUCUCUGGAAGAUCUUGUGGUAAAAAGUUAUUUUUCAUCUUUUUAAAACCUAGUGCAUCUUUUGCAUAAGUGGAAAAGCCAGCUCCCAUCUAUUUAAGAAUUCUACAUCUCUUUCCCCUUCAGAAAUUGUGCUGCUUCUGGCCGGGCAUAUGGCUCACGCCUGUAAUCCCAGCACUUUGGGAGGCCGAGGCAGGCAGUUGACUUGAGGUCAGGAGUUUGAGACCAGCCUGACCAACAUGGAGAAACCCCAUCUCUACUAAAAAUAAAAAAUUAGCCGGGCAUGGUAGCACAUGCCUGUGAUCCCAGCUACUCGGGAGGCUGAGGCAGGAGAAUCGCUUGAACCCGGGAGACGGAAGUUGUGGUGAG